UACUACUCCCUAGCUACUUUGUAGUGAUCAAUAUCAAAUAUCUUCUUGACGACUUGAAAGAUUGAGUGGCCAGAUGGGAUGAUCUUUAGUCCAUCCGACAUCCAAAUUGCAGAUCUAUUGCCAUUGGCAAUAGGCUGGCAUAUCUCAUGCAUUACAAAGAAACCAUAGUUCUGGACUGUAUAGGAGUACCUUCCAUCAAUGAUCCACUGAGCAAUCUUUACUUGUUCAACCUGCUUAAAGAAAAUGAUUAUUUGGCCUGACAGUAAGGUUACAACACGAAGAUAAAGCUGACAAGUUGGAGAUAAAUUCAGUUAAGAAAUUUGAGAUGCCGUAGAUUUAGGUAAUUGUAAACUGAUCAAUCCACAGGUUGGAGACAACUACUGUGCAAUUCAGGUAAUUGUGAACUGAUCAUCUACCAAUUGUUCAGAUGCCGCAGAGGUCCAUCUACCACUCAGGUAUUUUAGUCCAUCCGACAACAAGAAUGAAACUCACCUAGAGCCUUGGGUGACAGCAUCCCCGUU
rnacentral:lncRNA from 1 species